rnacentral:rRNA from 1 species
AGCGAACGCUGGCGGCAGGCUUAACACAUGCAAGUCGAGCGGGCAUCCUUGUGGUGUCAGCGGCAGACGGGUGAGUAACGCGUGGGAACGUGCCCUUCGGUUCGGAAUAACUCAGGGAAACUUGAGCUAAUACCGGAUACGUGCGAGAGCAGAAAGGUUUAUCUGCCGAAGGAUCGGCCCGCGUCUGAUUAGCUAGUUGGUGAGGUUAUGGCUCACCAAGGCGACGAUCAGUAGCUGGUCUGAGAGGAUGAUCAGCCACACUGGGACUGAGACACGGCCCAGACUCCUACGGGAGGCAGCAGUGGGGAAUAUUGGACAAUGGGGGCAACCCUGAUCCAGCCAUGCCGCGUGAGUGAUGACGGCCUUAGGGUUGUAAAGCUCUUUUCUCCGGGACGAUAAUGACGGUACCGGAGGAAUAAGCCCCGGGUAACUUCGUG